rnacentral:rRNA from 1 species
AUUGAACGCUGGCGGCAGGCCUAACACAUGCAAGUCGAACGGUAACAGGAAACAGCUUGCUGUUUCGCUGACGAGUGGCGGACGGGUGAGUAAUGUCUGGGAAACUGCCUGAUGGAGGGGGAUAACUACUGGAAACGGUAGCUAAUACCGCAUAACGUCGCAAGACCAAAGAGGGGGACCCUCGGGCCUCUUGCCAUCGGAUGCGCCCAGAUGGGAUUAGCUUGUUGGUGGGGUAACGGCUCACCAAGGCGACGAUCCCUAGCUGGUCUGAGAGGAUGACCAGCCACACUGGAACUGAGACACGGUCCAGACUCCUACGGGAGGCAGCAGUGGGGAAUAUUGCACAAUGGGCGCAAGCCUGAUGCAGCCAUGCCGCGUGUAUGAAGAAGGCCUUCGGGUUGAAAAGUACUUUCAGCGGGGAGGAAGGGAGUAAAGUUAAUACCUUUGCUCAUUGACGUUACCCGCAGAAGAAGCACCGGCUAACUCCGUG